GAACAGCGCUUUUUUGAAAAUACCGGUAAAGUCUUUCCGGAAAUUUUCCAGAUAUUUACCGGUAUCACUGUGUGAAAGGGGCUAUUGUCUGGAGGGUUAAGUUCCAACCCAACUCCAACAUACUUAUCUGUAGAUUUUAAACAAGCCUAAAGAACUCAAUCAGUUUGAUCAGGUGUGUUUAAUCAGGGUUGGUACUAAACUAUGCAGAGCUGCGGCUCUCCAGGAGCCCUGUGUGUUAAACUGACAGGAAUUUGUGCUACUGCCAUGGUUUGCAAAUCAUAGUGACCAAAUAGUCUCAGAUAGAAAAAUCAGCGAGCCACCAAAAUGUCUCAAGCGCCCACCAACUGGACAUUUUGAGAACAGCGCCUGAGAUUUUAAAGCUGGAUAAAAACAUUUUAGUGGACUUUGGCUGGACUUAUUUAACUCAGUGGGUCCUAUCAUACACCCGGUGCAUCAGACACAAUUUUUUGCUAUUUUCAGACCAAUGCAGCUCUAAUUUUCACAUUUUUUGUGUGAAAAAAAGUGCGCUAAAGUACUGUAGAAAAGGCUGUGAUGUGUAUACAUGGAACAAUAGCGCCCUCUUGUGACUUUACUAAGUAUUACACUCAUGACGCACCUUCCCCUUUAAAUUAUCCCUUUAAUAGUUAAAGAGGAAACAGUUCAGAGCACGGACAGACUUCGCUAGCAUCACGUUGUUAUUGCCGAGUGCGUUCAAAUACAAAACCACUCAUAUUAAGCUACACUUCAAGGCAUUGUGCUACUCUGCUGUACUUCCAAAUCCAAGGACUGUAAACUCUCAACCAGUAUCUGUUUAUUAAAGUGUUCUUCGUCUCUGA